AAAUAGGAAUUUCCGGUGGAUCAGAGUUCGAUACAAACCAAAUACACUUAAAAACUUUACUGUGGAUAAAUCAAGCUUAUUGCCAUUAUGAUGUGAACUUUCCCCAAUGUAAAGUAAUGUAGCUGAGGAUUUGCAAUGGGGACCAAGGGCGGGAUUUCUUUGGCCAGCUUCUGUGUUUUUAACCCAACAUAUGGACCAAGGGAAGGAGAGGAGCACAAGAAGAUUGUAUUUUUCUAUCCCAAAGAGACGGACAUAGAUACCCAGAUAAAACACAUUGGUCUCUGUGAGGCUAUAGUCAGAUUCACAGAAACAUUUUCUAACAAGCCAUGCCAAAGUCUCCACACAACCAAGAGAAGACAACUCUUUUUGGAAGCAGAAAAGGAUUUCUGGAUGAUUAUGACAGUUACAAUUCCCUUCACGGAGAAGACAAAGGAUGGACAGUCUGUGCUUGAGUACCAUGAAGAGGAGGUACAGGAUCGUGUGUAUGAGGCCAUUCUACAACAAGCCUACAGAAUGUUUCAGGUAUGAGGCCAUUCUACAACAAGCCUACAGGAUGUUUCAGGUAUGAGGCCAUUCUACAAAAAGCUUACAGGAUGUUUCAUGUAUGAGGCCAUCCUACAACAAGCAUAUACUGUGGAAUCAUUGAAUUUCUUGAGGGCCAAUUUUCGUGGUUUGUGGGGUUUUUGCUUGUUUGUGGGGAUGCAAUUUUUGGAUGCGUCGGUUUUCAGUUUCAGUAGGAAAACUAAAUCUUUCAAAAUCAGUCAUUGUUGAGGAUGUAAAUAUAUAUGUAAGGGCUACCCACAAAUACAUGUGUACUGCAAAAAUUGAGCCUGACAACAAGCCUACAGGAUGGUUCAGGAUGAGGCCAUCCUACUACAAUCCUAUAGGAUGUUUCAGACAUUCAGAUUGUUUAUAUGCCUGAUUUACAUGUAUAUAUUAAAACUGUCCACAUUUGAUCUUUCAACAAGUAAUGUGGUCACAUCCAGAGUAAUUCAUAUACAUGUGUUGAAAUAUUAAAGUAUGUGACCUGAUAUGAGGUAUAUAUGUGUAAACUGACAUUUUGAAUCUGGUUUCAGUUAUUUAAUGGGACAUUUGCCUCCAUAUUGGAAAGAACAGGAAAUAAUGUUAAAGUUUUACAACAGAGACUGGAGCAUUUUUAUGUUAGAUUUUUACAGACUCUGCGAUUGCCACAAGGGGAUAUUUUGGACAUUUUUUCUGGGAUCCACUUCAUGCCAUUAGAUAAGAACACCUACCUCCAUGUGCAGUGUUUCAUCAACCUGUUGGAGGCUUCAUUCUCUAGCAUCAAAUACACAGCUUUUCUCUACAAUGACCAGCUGGUCUGGAGUGGUCUAGAUCAGGAGGAUAUGAGGAUUAUCUAUAAAUACCUGAUCACCAGUUUAUUUCCGUCCUAUCAAGAACAAGAACUCCAGUCUACAAACUCCGUGUCCCCCUCCAGAAACUCAGCAGCACCUGGGGAUGUGCAUUAUGGAAAGUUUAUCACGGGACCACCUGACAUAAGAAAUGAGAAGAAUUUGGGCAAAGUUCCACGCGUGUACAUAAACACAGAAUGCUGUAAUGAGGAGUGCUUUCUUCUGGUGUAUAGAGCACACAAUGCCAGUGUCUGCAUGUUUCUUCCUGGUAAGUUUGCUUAAUGCCAGUAUACUGUAAUAGUACAGAAAUGGAGUUAUGUUUCCUGUUUACUCUGUACCUUUUCCCUUAUUAGCUGCCUGCAAGAUCAAUUUUGAGCUCUGUCACAAACUUGAUAGUUUCCUUGGACCGCGGUUGUCACAGUUGGCCUCUGAUAUUGGUGAACAAUUCUCCAAGAAAGCGGCCUCAGGAGCAGAUACAGCGUAUCGAUUUAUUUACUUCAACCAUAUGAACCUGGCUCAGAAGACGACGGUUCACUCGGACAUGAGGAAGACGGGUAGUAACAACAUUCCACCAGAAACUCUCAAACUACUGACAGACAUUAGCUCCGAUAUGUCCAAGUAUGACUUGUAGUUUCUUUUUUUAACAUUUUAUAAGGCAUCGGGGGCAUGCAGUCGAGACCAAGGGUGAAAAUUCUCCAAAUUCAAUGAUGAAUGCAAGAUGUAAUAUUGUCCUUUAAUAGCAUUAGUUUGAAAUUGUACCCGAUUCAUAUCAAUAACUCUGGCCUCCUUUUCCUGGUCCAUGUACAACAGCAUUGUAGGCCUGUAUAGCAGAGUGGGUGUUCAGUUGUGUUCUAGUCAUAGGAAAUUGUAGCAAGCUCUUGCUAGUACCAGCAGCUCAGCUGAACAGGCACUAGGCACACAAAACUGACCCCAGCUCACUCUUGAUCUAAUUCUCACAUUUACAGAUCAUAUUUAUGUUAAAUCUUUGAAGGGAAAUCAAAAGAAAGCUUGUCAAAUUUUUACAAAUGAACCUACCAUUACAAUUUGAUUACUAUAUCCAACGGAAUUUACAAAUAUUAAUUCUUUAAAAGUAAUACAAGUAAAUAGUUGUACAAGUUCAGUGCAUUGUUGUUCAGUUCAUAAAACUAAAGAUUUAUGACAAAGUUGUAAGUUCCUUUGU
rnacentral:misc_RNA from 1 species